ACGGCUCCUACGGAUGUAGCAGAUGUGGCUGCUGUGCCACAUGUGUAUCAGUAGGUAGCAGAGAGAGGAGAGGGGCUAUGUCUACCAACAGUGUCCUAACUCUAUGAACAUCUGAAUGAUUAACAGCGUAACACU
ensembl:snoRNA Gm22499 small nucleolar RNA SNORA17